rnacentral:pre_miRNA from 6 species
CCGCGGGGCCAGAUCCGCCGGUGGGAAGGUCAUGCCCGCCGGAUCCGUCAGCCAUGACCUCCCUGCCGGCGUAUUCGGUCGCUCGG